UACGGGGGGGGCAAGCGUUGUUCGGAAUUACUGGGCGUAAAGGGUUCGUAGGUGGCCAACUAAGUCAGACGUGAAAUCCCUCAGCUUAACUGGGGAACUGCGUCUGAUACUGGUUGGCUUGAGUGCAGGAGAGGAACGCGGAAUUCCAGGUGUAGCGGUGAAAUGCGUAGAUAUCUGGAGGAACACCGGUGGCGAAGGCGGCGUUCUGGACCGCAACUGACACUGAGGAACGAAAGCCAGGGGAGCAAACGGG
rnacentral:rRNA from 1 species